UUAAGAGCAAAAAAAACUACCUGUGCCAAUCAGUUUUUGCCAUUUAUGGGCUUUACCCUAUAAAAGAAAACCAUUUUAUGCAUUUAAAUGACCUUACACGUUAUCAGUUUAUUAAGCGUUUAGACUAUGUAGACACACUCACUGUGCACUAAAAUGAAAAAAAUUGGUUAACACGACCACUCGUGGUGGCUUCACUCAGAGGUUGGAGAAGACAACCGGUGGACUAAACAUCAAGCCUCUGCACGAUUCAGGUAAGUGGAAUAAAAUACAUUGUAAAUAAACAUUAUUAAAACAGAUUGUGAAGUCAUUCAUUCAAAACUUGCUAUGACCUAAGCCUAAAUGACUUAAUUUCUUUUUAGAAUUAAGACAACCUUAGCAGGAGAGCCCCAGCAGUAACUUUCUCUCAAGCAGAUGAGCAAUAAGUUGCUUUGUAUGAACACCACCCUAACAAUCAAGCCUGUUAACAGUAGACCAAAGACGACGAUACUAUUACACUGACAAGAGUGUAAUGAUGAUGGAGACACAAGCCAGAGAAAGGGGGGACCAAACACCAGGCCAGAAUUCUGCAUGAGUCAGAUCCAGUGGGUGCAGAUCAUCAUACAGAUGGUUCAAGUGUGGAUCCACCUAAUAUUCAAGAUUUUCUGUCCUGGGACACUCGGCUAACCAUCAAGAAAGAACACACUCCAGUGGGCAUCCUUUAUCCAUCCAGACCCUCAUACAGAUGGUUGGAGUUUUGAUUCACCUAAAGUACCAUGCAAGAGCACUCAUUUUCCCUCUUGAGACCAUGGUGUGACCUGCAAGGUCGAAUGGAGACUGUAAACAAGACAAUCUUGGAGUCACCUGCAUUCACUGGUCCAGUUGUUAGUCCAAUUACAGAUGGGGAUUAUAGA